CUGGUUUCUCUUCAGAUCCUAGAAAUCCUUUGCCUUUUACUAAAGAUUUCUGUGGGGAGGAGCAUUUAAAUCAAUUUUUUUAGGCUCUACUUCAGAAGAUCU
rnacentral:snRNA from 1 species